UAGGGAAUCUUCCACAAUGGGCGCAAGCCUGAUGGAGCAACACCGCGUGAGUGAAGAAGGGUUUCGGCUCGUAAAGCUCUGUUGUUAAAGAAGAACACGUAUGAGAGUAACUGUUCAUACGUUGACGGUAUUUAACCAGAAAGCCACGGCUAACUACGUGCCAU
rnacentral:rRNA from 1 species